rnacentral:lncRNA from 1 species
AUGAUUAAAACUCUCCCGUGUCUCCUACCAAGCUUUGAAGCAGGUACCUGGAAAGUGGGAAGAAGACAUCAUGAGGUGCUCUGCUCUGAAGAAGGGUGCCCUUGAAUACUGGAUAUAACUUUGCAUGAGUCAGGUUUUAAAUGUCCCUGAUGGAAAAUAUUUGCAAGCAUACUUUGUGAAUGCUAUAUUAAUAGAU